CUUGGGGUCAGGCGACCCGUUUGGGGUCAGGCGACUUGUUUGGGGUCAGGCGACCCGUUUGGGGUCAGGCGACCCGUUUGGGGUCAGGCGACUUGUCUGGGGUCAGGCGACUUGUCUGAGGUCAGGCGAACCUUUUGGGGUCAGGCGACUCGUUUGGGGUCAGGAGACCCGUUUGUGGUCAGGCGACCUGUCUGGGGUCAGGCGACUUGUUUGGGGUCAGGCGACUUGUCUGAGGUCAGGCGACCCGUUUGGGGCCAGGAGACCCGUUUGGGGUCAGGAGACCCGUUUGAGGUCAGGCGACCCGCUUGGGGUCAGGCGACCCGCUUGGGGUCAGGCGACUCGUUUGGGGUCAGGAGACCCGUUUGGGGUCAGGCGACCCGUUUGGGGUCAGGCGACCCGUUUGGGGUCAGCAGACCCGUUUGAGGUCAGGAGACCCGCUUGGGGUCAGGCGACCCGUUACGGGUCAGGCGACCCGCUUGGGGUCAGGUGACCCGUUUGGGGUCAGGAGACCCGUUUGGGGUCAGGAGACCCGUUUGGGGUCAGCAGACCCGUUUGAGGUCAGGAGACCCGCUUGGGGUCAGGCGACCCGUUACGGGUCAGGCGACCCGCUUGGGGUCAGGUGACCCAUUUGGGGACAGGCGACCCGUUUGGGGUCAGGCGACCCGUUUGGGGUCAGGCGACCCGCUUGGGGUCAGGCGACCCGUUUGGGGUCAGGAGACCCGUUUGGGGUCAGGCGACUUGUUUGGGGUCAGGCGACCCGUUUGGGGUCAGGCGACUUGUCUGGGGUCAGGCGACUUGUCUGAGGUCAGGCGAACCGUUUGGGGUCAGGCGACUCGUUUGGGGUCAGGAGACCCGUUUGUGGUCAGGCGACUUGUCUGGGGUCAGGCGACUUGUUUGGGGUCAGGCGACUUGUCUGAGGUCAGGCGACCCGUUUGGGGCCAGGAGACCCGUUUGGGGUCAGGAGACCCGUUUGGGGUCAGGAGACCCGUUUGAGGUCAGGCGACCCGCUUGGGGUCAGGCGACUCGUUUGGGGUCAGGAGACCCGUUUGGGGUCAGGAGACCCGUUUGGGGUCAGGCGACUCGUUUGGGGUCAGGAGACCCGUUUGUGGUCAGGCGACUUGUCUGGGGUCAGGCGACUUGUUUGGGGUCAGGCGACUUGUCUGAGGUCAGGCGACCCGUUUGGGGCCAGGAGACCCGUUUGGGGUCAGGAGACCCGUUUUAGGUCAGGCGACCCGCUUGGGGUCAGGCGACCCGUUUGGGGUCAGGCGACCCGCUUGGGGUCAGGAGACCCGCUUGGGGUCAGGAGACCCGUUUGGGGUCAGGUGACUUGUCUGAGGCCAGGCGACCCGUUUGGGGUCAGGCGACUUGUCUGAGGUCAGGCCACCCGUUUGGGGUCAGGCGACCCGUUUGAGGUCAGGAGACCCGCUUGGGGUCAGGCCACCCGUUUGAGGUCAGGCGACCCGCUUGGGGUCAGGCGACCCGUUUGGGGUCAGGCGACCCGUUACGGGUCAGGCGACCCGCUUGGGGUCAGGCGACCCGUUUGGGGUCAGGAGACCCGCUUGGGGUCAGGAGACCCGCUUGGGGUCAGGAGACCCGUUUGGGGUCAGGCGACUUGUCUGAGGCCAGGCGACCCGUUUGGGGUCAGGCGACUUGUCUGAGGUCAGGCCACCCGUUUGGGGUCAGGCGACCCGUUUGAGGUCAGGAGACCCGCUUGGGGUCAGGCCACCCGUUUGAGGUCAGGCGACCCGCUUGGGGUCAGGCGACCCGUUUGGGGUCAGGCGACUUGUCUGAGGUCAGGCAAACCAUUUGGGGUCAGGCGACCCGUUUGGGGUCAGGAGACCCGUUACGGGUCAGGCGACCCGCUUGGGGUCAGGUGACCCAUUUGGGGUCAGGCCACCCGUUUGGGGUCAGCAGACCCGUUUGAGGUCAGCAGACCCGUUUGAGGUCAGGCGACCCGUUUGGGGUCAGGCGACCCGUUUGGGGUCAGGCGACCCGUUUGGGGUCAGGAGACCCGUUUGGGGUCAGCAGACCCGUUUGGGGUCAGCAGACCCGUUUGAGGUCAGGAGACCCGCUUGGGGUCAGGCGACCCGUUACGGGUCAGGCGACCCGCUUGGGGUCAGGCGACCCGCUUGGGGUCAGGUGACCCAUUUGGGGUCAGGAGACCCGUUUGGGGUCAGGCGACCCGCUUGGGGUCAGGCGACCCGUUUGGGGUCAGGAGACCCGUUUGGGGUCAGGCGACCCGUUACGGGUCAGGCGACCCGCUUGGGGUCAGGCGACCCGUUUGGGGUCAGGAGACCCGUUUGGGGUCAGGCGACCCGCUUGGGGUCAGGCGACCCGUUUGGGCUCAGGCCGGCCUUCAGCCAACAGCAGUUGGUAGAAGCUCCAGCAACCCUAAGGGUUCUGAGGGAGGGAGGUGAUCUUUAACUUCAUGCUUGCUGGAUUCAUUUACUCUGAGUUGGUAGCAGAAGGAACCAAACCAGAUGUUCUGACAAUAAUGAAACUUGGGCUGGUUCUCCUGAAGUGAACGACCUUUCUAAACGAAGCAGUCUGGUUCCAAACAGGAGCUGGAACCAGACUGAAAACUUAAGGUUAGGGUUAACCCAUUUUGUUAAAAUGACAGAUGAGUUUUUAUUUUUCAGGUCAGAUCAAAAUAGAAAGUUGCUUUGAAUGGAUCGAUCAAAGUCCAGGUCUUCCCACUGGGACCCCCCCACGGUGACGGACUGAGCCGCAGAAGAAGCUGUCUGUCUGCGGAUCGAGUGACGUUAGCUUCCAGCCUGGCAGAGCCUUAACCUGAGUCUCUAAUGUCAGGAUGUUCAUGCUGACAGAUUAUCCACAGUACUCAAAGGAUACAUGCUGGCUUUGGCUUCCCAUUGGCUGCUCAUCCUAACAUGACUUUGUGUGUUUACCCAGACCUAACUGUGAUAACACGUCCAUACAGGUAAGUAUCUCUGUAUGGCCUGUCUUCUCUUUUCGUGUGUCUCACAUAUUUAAGUGAUUAUCAUUACACUUGUUUUACUUUUUUAGCCAACCUUCUCAAAGUUUCCCCUUCUGUGUGUUUUUCGUUGCCUUUCUUUGUUUGUCCUCUAAGUGAGGAUUCUUCUGGAUUUUUCUCUUCCUUGUCAGGCAUUUCCAUGCUAAAUUCCACCUUCCUCUGCACUGCCUUGCUUACCUGUCAUCAAUGCUUGGUCCUUAUUUCUGCUUCUAAAUGCACACUGUCCAUCAGCUUCAAAGAACUUUAGUCCCAGAAAAACUCCUUUCUGUUGUAAUUUUCACUACAGUCAUUAUAAUAAAAGUGUUAUGCAACAAAACCACAUUACAGCUGCUUCAAACCAGCCAACGGAGAGCUUCUGAAAUGUAGUACAUAGACGGAUCACUGUGCCCCAAUGCAGGGUCAUUUCCACGAAACUGAAAUCAGAUUCUUGGUUUGAAGGGUUGAGAAGAAAGCAGAGGGUGAGGAUUCUGACUGUUGGCCUCAGAUAUCCCAGACUUCCUUCUGUGAGAGUUUAUUUAUGUGCAUCAGCUGCAGGGAACCCAGGACAAUACUCUACAUUCCAUGUUAGGCAUGAACCCCAGAAUGAUGUGUGUUCCAUGUCAGGAGGCGUGUCGUGGCUUUGGAGCCAACAUUGUGUUGAGAUUCUUUGCUACAGUCUACAGUUGGUUUGGUUCCUUUUCCCUGAACUCACAGCAGCUGCUGAGAAGCUGAAAUGAGCUGAAAGGUUUUCAUGCAUGAAAUUAGAAGUGGAUCAACAAAAACAGCAGAAUGCUGCAGACCCAACGCAGCUUUGUGGAAAACCAAGGAUAAACCCUUCUGAGGAUUCGUUCAGGCCUGAUGCCAAGCUUUACCCAGGAUAUUUAUGAAAUGUAACUUCAUGUAUUUAAUGCAAAGUACUUUAGUCAAUCCUAACUGACAUAUUUGAAUGUCUCUGCAGAGCCUUUGAGUAUUAAAAGUAGGUGCUGUAAGAACAGAACAUGGCUUUCUGUGGCACAUGACGCACAGAACCUCUGAUGCGUGUCCUGCUCCUCAUGGUGUUGUUCUGAGAUGAUCCACUCUUCUACAAGUGCUACAUGCUGUUCUACCAGGUGACUUGGGUGGGGUACUAUCAUCCAGUCUCUGCUUCAGCAGGUCCCCCUGCACUUUGGGUUCAGGUCAGGGCUCAUUGCUGGUCAUACCACAUGAGGCCACUCCCACUUCCUGAAGUCCAGCUGUGACAGUUCUGGCACCAUGUGGUGGGGUAUCAUCAUCCAUGAACAGGAAGUGGAACUGGAGAUGAUGGCUCUAUAACAGCUCUGAGACUGUUGCUCCUCCUCCACCAAAGCUGACCCUGGAGAGCAUGUUGACCUCAGCGUAUCGCUCACCUCGCCAUCUCCAGCAACGCUGAUGACCUUCAUUUUUGUGUGAGGCGACCUGACACUCAUCAGCGAACAGGAAGGUGGACCACUGCUGCAUCGUCCAGGUCACAUGGUCUUCACUGCAAACUAUCAUGGCGGUGUCUUGGUGCCGGUGGAGUCACCUGCACCAUCUGACUGUCCAACACCAACCUAAAGGCGCUGGGGUCAGGUGGAGCUGCUAGUCCGUUCAACGGCGUGUUCAUGACUGCUUGAAUGAUGAACUUGGAAUGACAUACUGACUAAAUCUGCUUUUUAUCCCCACAGAAUGUUGACAUUGAUGAAACAUUGAAAAAGUUAUGUGUUUAUUGAACCACAUUGAAAAAAUCAUGAAAAACAUGAAAUAAUAACAUGUGAAGUGAUGUGUAUCUAAACAGUAAUUCUGAAAGAACAGUGGUGCAGUGGUUAGCACUCUUGCCUCACAGCAAGAAGUUCCCCAGUUAAAGUCCCGGUUGGGGGACCUGAACCAGAACAUCAAUGGGGCCCUUUCUGUGUGGAGUUUGCAUGUUCUCACCGUGGAUGCGUGGGUUCUCCCCGGGGUCUCCGUCUUCCUCCCACCGUCCAAAAACAUGCUUCAUAGGUUAAUUGGCAACUCUAAAUUGUCCCUAAGUGUGAAUGUGAGAGUGAAUUCAUGAUUGUGAAGUGCAACAGACUGGCGACCUGUUCAGGAUGUCCCAUGCCUUCACCCAUAAGUGCCUGGGAUAGGCUCCAGCAGCCCAGUGACCCCAAAAGGGAACAAACUGAAGAAGAUGAAUGAAUAACAAUCCUUAAAAGAAACAAGCUAAAGAAAAUUAAACAUGGAUCCAAAGAGCAGACA